UGAGUAACACGUGGAUAACCUACCUAUAAGACUGGGAUAACUUCGGGAAACCGGAGCUAAUACCGGAUAAUAUAUUGAACCGCAUGGUUCAAUAGUGAAAGACGGUUUUGCUGUCACUUAUAGAUGGAUCCGCGCUGCAUUAGCUAGUUGGUAAGGUAACGGCUUACCAAGGCAACGAUGCGUAGCCGACCUGAGAGGGUGAUCGGCCACACUGGAACUGAGACACGGUCCAGACUCCUACGGGAGGCAGCAGCC
rnacentral:rRNA from 1 species